AACGGCCAUAUCAUGCUGAAUAUACCGGUUCUCGUUAGAUCACCGAAGUCAAGCAUCACUGGGCGCGGUCAGUACACUUGGGUGGGUGACCACCUGGGAACACCGCGUGCCGUU